GAAUUACUGGGCGUAAAGGGAGCGUAGGUGGCUCGAUAAGUCAGGUGUGAAAUCCCCGGGCUCAACCUGGGAACUGCAUCUGAUACUGUUGAGCUAGAGUAUGUGAGAGGAAGGUAGAAUUCCAGGUGUAGCGGUGAAAUGCGUAGAGAUCUGGAGGAAUACCGAUGGCGAAGGCAGCCUUCUGGCAUAAUACUGACACUGAGGCUCGAAAGCGUGGGUAGCAAACAGGAUUAGAUACCCUGGUAGUCCACGCCGUAAACGACGUCUACUAGUCGUUGGGUCCCUUGAGGACUUAGUGACGCAGCUAACGCAAUAAGUAGACCGCCUGGGGAGUACGGCCGCAAGGUUAAAACUCAAAUGAAUUGACGGGGGCCCGCACAAGCGGUGGAGCAUGUGGUUUAAUUCGAUGCAACGCGAAGAACCUUGCCUGGUCUUGACAUAUCUAGAAUCCUGCAGAGAUGCGGGAGUGCCUUCGGGAAUUAGAAUACAGGUGCUGCAUGGCUGUCGUCAGCUCGUGUCGUGAGAUGUUGGGUUAAGUCCCGCAACGAGCGCAACCCUUGUCCUUAGUUACCAGCGGGUUAAGCCGGGAACUCUAAGGAUACUGCCAGUGACAAACUGGAGGAAGGCGGGGACGACGUCAAGUCAUCAUGGCCCUUACGACCAGGGCUACACACGUGCUACAAUGGUAGGUACAGAGGGCAGCUACACAGCGAUGUGAUGCGAAUCUCAAAAAGCCUAUCGUAGUCCAGAUUGGAGUCUGCAACUCGACUCCAUGAAGUAGGAAUCGCUA
rnacentral:rRNA from 1 species